AGCGAACGCUGGCGGCAGGCUUAACACAUGCAAGUCGAGCGGGCAUCCUUGUGGUGUCAGCGGCAGACGGGUGAGUAACGCGUGGGAACGUGCCCUUCGGUUCGGAAUAACUCAGGGAAACUUGAGCUAAUACCGGAUACGUGCGAGAGCAGAAAGGUUUAUCUGCCGAAGGAUCGGCCCGCGUCUGAUUAGCUAGUUGGUGAGGUUACGGCUCACCAAGGCGACGAUCAGUAGCUGGUCUGAGAGGAUGAUCAGCCACACUGGGACUGGGACACGGCCCAGACUCCUACGGGAGGCAGCAGUGGGGAAUAUUGGACAAUGGGGGCAACCCUGAUCCAGCCAUGCCGCGUGAGUGAUGACGGCCUUAGGGUUGUAAAGCUCUUUUCUCCGGGACGAUAAUGACGGUACCGGAGGAAUAAGCCCCGGCUAACUUCGU
rnacentral:rRNA from 1 species